rnacentral:rRNA from 1 species
AUUGAACGCUGGCGGCAUGCCUAACACAUGCAAGUCGAACGAGUGGCGGACGGGUGAGUAAUGUCUGGGAAACUGCCCGAUGGAGGGGGAUAACUACUGGAAACGUUAGCUAAUACCGCAUACCAUCGGAUGUGCCCAGAUGGGAUUAGCUAGUAGGUGGGGUAACGGCUCACCUAGGCGACGAUCCCUAGCAGGGCUGAGAGGAUGACCAGCCACACUGGAACGGAGACACGGUCCAGACUCCUACGGGAGGCAGCAGUGGGGAAUAUUGCACAAUGGGCGCAAGCCUGAUGCAGCCAUGCCGCGUGUAUGAAGAAGGCCUUCGGGUUGUAAAGUACUUUCGGCGGAGAGGCGGUACUCGCAGAAGAAGCACCGGCUAACUCCGUGCCAGCUGCCGCGGUAAUAC